CCUACGGGAGGCAGCAGUGGGGAAUAUUGGGCAAUGGGCGCAAGCCUGACCCAGCAACGCCGCGUGAAGGAAGAAGGCUUUCGGGUUGUAAACUUCUUUUCAGGGGGAAGAGCAGAAGACGGUACCCCUUGAAUAAGCCACGGCUAACUACGUGCCAGCAGCCGCGGUAAUACGUAGGUGGCAAGCGUUUUCCGGAUUUACGGGGUGUAAAGGGCGUGCAGCCGGAGAGACAAGUCAGAUGUGAAAUCCACGGGCUCAACCCGUGAACUGCAUUUGAAACUGUUUCCCUUGAGUGUCGGAGAGGUAAUCGGAAUUCCUUGUGUAGCGGUGAAAUGCGUAGAUAUAAGGAAGAACACCAGUGGCGAAGGCGGAUUACUGGACGAUAACUGACGGUGAGGCGCGAAAGCGUGGGGAGCAAACAGGAUUAGAUACCCGGGUAGUC
rnacentral:rRNA from 1 species